rnacentral:lncRNA from 1 species
AUGGUCAGGGGCUUUGAUGCUGCAACCCCAAAGAGAGGGGGGAUUUUUGUUUUGUUUUUUGAGUCUGAGUGCUGGAGUACAGGCAUCCGCCACUGUACUGGGCCAGCAGUAGGAUCUCAGGGGAUAUGUUUUGUACCAGAUGGAACUUGCAAAAAAGAUGGAAAACACAGACAUGGAAGAGCUGGCACAGUGGGAAAAGGCACUGCUAGCCAUACUAGCCUGAUAGCUUGCCUAAAAUGUCAAUGCGCUGGCCUGAAUCUGUUAUCCCAGCACUCCUACUUCAAGAUGGGAGAUGGAGACAGGAGAGCUUGCCUAGAGCUUCAUGGACCAGCUGUAGUGCAAAGAACAUCAGAAACAAGGGAGACCCUGCUUCAGCAAGAUGGAAAAGGAGAACCAAUUCCAACCACACUCACACACACACACACACACACACACACACACACACACACACACUCACUCACACACUCACACACACACACACACUCACACACACACACACUCACACAGACACACACUCACACACUCACUCUCACACACACACACACACACUCACACACUCACUCUCACACACACACACACACAGACACUCACACACAGACACACACACACUCACUCACACACACUCACUCACACACACUCACUCACACACACAGACACACACACACUCACACACACUCACACACACACUCAUACACACACACUCAUACACACACACUCACACACACACUCACUCACACAUUCACACACAGACACACUCACACACAGACACACACACAGACACACACAGAGACACACACACACUCACACACACACUCACACACACACUCACACACACACUCACACACACACACACUCACAUACUCACUCACACACACACACUCACACACACACUCACACACACACUCACACACUCACACACAACACACUCACACACACACUCACACACACUCACACUCACACACUCACACUCACACACACUCUCACACACUCACACUCAUACACACUCACACACACACACACUCACACACACACUCACACACACACUCACACACUCACACACACACUCUCACACACUCACACUCACACACACUCACACACACACUCACACACACACACACUCACACACAGACACACACACACUCACACACACGCUCUCACACACUCACACUCACACACACACUCACACACACACACUCACACACACAGACUCACACACAGACUCACACACAGACUCACACAGACACACACACACACUCACACACACACACACACACACACACACUCACACACUGUGGCACACGUGUGCCCACACUCACAUAUCAGUUAAUUGAUUUAAAAAUGAAUAUGAAAAGCAGAUAUCAAAAGAAAAGGUCACAGAUGCAUCUGAGGCUCCCGGACGACAGAUGA